rnacentral:rRNA from 1 species
AUCGAACGCUGGCGGCAGGCCUACCACCUGCAAGUCGAGCGGAGCGGCAUACGGGUGAGUAUUCCUUCUGAAUCUUCCUGGUAGUGGGGGAUAACGGCCGGAAACGGGCGCUAAUACCGCAUAAUAUCCGAUUAGCCUAGGUCGGUUUAGCUAGUUGGUGGGUUAAAGGCCUACCAUGGCGACGAUCCGUAACUGGUCUGAGAGGGUGAUCCGUCACACUGGAACUGAGACACGUUCCAGACUCCUACGGGAGGCAGCAGUGGGAAAUAUUGGACAAUGGGCGAAAGCCUGAUCCAGCCAUGCCGCGUGGGUGAAGAAGGUCUUCGGUUUGUAAAGCACUUUAAGUUGGGAGGCGUUACCCACAGAAUAAGCACCGGCUAACUUCGUGCCAGCAGCCGCGGUAAUAC